rnacentral:rRNA from 1 species
GAUGAACGCUGGCGGCGUGCCUAAUACAUGCAAGUCGAGCGAACAGAUGAGGAGCUUGCUCCUCUGACGUUAGCGGCGGACGGGUGAGUAACACGUGGAUAACCUACCUAUAAGACUGGGAUAACUUCGGGAAACCGGAGCUAAUACCGGAUAAUAUAUUGAACCGCAUGGUUCAAUAGUGAAAGACGGUUUUGCUGUCACUUAUAGAUGGAUCCGCGCCGCAUUAGCUAGUUGGUAAGGUAACGGCUUACCAAGGCAACGAUGCGUAGCCGACCUGAGAGGGGGAUCGGCCAAACGGGAACUGAGACACGGUCCAGACUCCUACGGGAGGCAGCAGUAGGGAAUCUUCCGCAAUGGGCGAAAGCCUGACGGAGCAACGCCGCGUGAGUGAUGAAGGUCUUCGGAUCGUAAAACUCUGUUAUUAGGGAAGAACAAAUGUGUAAGUAACUAUGCACGUCUUGACGGUACCUAAUCAGAAAGCCACGGUUAACUACGU